rnacentral:rRNA from 1 species
GAUGAACGCUGGCGGCGUGCCUAAUACAUGCAAGUCGAGCGAACAGAUGAGGAGCUUGCUCCUCUGACGUUAGCGGCGGACGGGUGAGUGACACGUGGAUAACCUACCUCUAAGACUGGGAUAACUUCGGGAAACAGGAGAUAAUACCGGAGAAUAUAUUGAACCGCAUGGUUCAAUAGUGAAAGACGGUUUUGCUGUCACUUAUAGAUGGAUCCGCGCCGCAUUAGCUAGUUGGUAAGGUAACGGCCUACCAAGGCAACGAUGCGUAGCCGACCUGAGAGGGUGAUCGGCCACACUGGAACUGAGACACGGUCCAGACUCCUACGGGAGGCAGCAGUAGGGAAUCUUCCGCAAUGGGCGAAAGCCUGACGGAGCAACGCCGCGUGAGUGAUGGAGGUCUUCGGAUCGUAAAACUCUUUUAUUAGGGAAGAACAAAUGUGUAAGUAACUAUGCACGUCUUGACGGUACCUAAUCAGAAAGCCACGGCUAACUACGUG